GAUGAACGCUGGCGGCGUGCUUAACACAUGCAAGUCGAACGGUGAAGCAGGAGCUUGCUCCUGUGGAUCAGUGGCGAACGGGUGAGUAACACGUGAGCAACCUGCCCCGGACUCUGGGAUAAGCGCUGGAAACGGCGUCUAAUACCGGAUACGAGCUGCGAAGGCAUCUUCAGCAGCUGGAAAGAACUUCGGUCUGGGAUGGGCUCGCGGCCUAUCAGCUAGUUGGUGAGGUAACGGCUCACCAAGGCGUCGACGGGUAGCCGGCCUGAGAGGGUGACCGGCCACACUGGGACUGAGACACGGCCCAGACUCCUACGGGAGGCAGCAGUGGGGAAUAUUGCACAAUGGGCGAAAGCCUGAUGCAGCAACGCCGCGUGAGGGAUGACGGCCUUCGGGUUGUAAACCUCUUUUAGCAGGGAAGAAGCGAAAGUGACGGUACCUGCAGAAAAAGCGCCGGCUAACUACGUGCCAGCCGCCGCCGUAAAAC
rnacentral:rRNA from 1 species